rnacentral:rRNA from 1 species
UACGUAGGGGGCGAGCGUUGUCCGGAAUUACUGGGCGUAAAGAGAGCGUAGGCGGCACUACAAGUCUCAUGUGAAAUACCCGGGCUUAACUUGGGGGUUGCAUGGGAAACUGUAGAGCUUGAGUACAGGAGAGGCAAGCGGAAUUCCUAGUGUAGCGGUGAAAUGCGUAGAUAUCAGGAGGAACACCUGUGGCGAAGGCGGCCUGCUGGACUGCAACUGACGUUGAGGCCCGAAAGCGUGGGGAGCAAACAGG